rnacentral:rRNA from 1 species
UAGGGAAUCUUCCACAAUGGACGAAAGUCUGAUGGAGCAACGCCGCGUGAGUGAUGAAGGGUUUCGGCUCGUAAAACUCUGUUGUUGGAGAAGAACAGGUGAUAGAGUAACUGUUAUCAUCUUGACGGUAUCCAACCAGAAAGCCACGGCUAACUACGUGCCAGCAGCCGCGGUAAUACGUAGGUGGCAAGCGUUGUCCGGAUUUAUUGGGCGUAAAGCGAGCGCAGGCGGUUUUUUAGGUCUGAUGUGAAAGCCUUCGGCUUAACCGGAGAAGGGCAUCGGAAACCGGGAGACUUGAGUGCAGAAGAGGACAGUGGAACUCCAUGUGUAGCGGUGAAAUGCGUAGAUAUAUGGAAGAACACCAGUGGCGAAGGCGGCUGUCUGGUCUGUAACUGACGCUGAGGCUCGAAAGCAUGGGUAGCGAACAGGAUUAGAUACCCUGGUAGUCCAUGCCGUAAACGAUGAGUGCUAAGUGUUGGAGGGUUUUCCGCCCUUCAGUGCUGCAGCUAACGCAUUAAGCACUCCGCCUGGGGGAGUACGACCGCAAGGUUGAAAC